rnacentral:snRNA from 1 species
GGAUAUGGGGUCAGUCCAACUGUGACAUCUGUCAUCCUAUUGAUUACCAGGGUUUACUCAAGUGGCCUGGCUUGCUGGGCAGGUGCCUCAUUUUCCGUCACUACUCCAUAUGCAUUUCUCUUAGAACUGUGUACUUGGUCGAAGAGAAUGACUUUCUCUGAAUAUAGGAGGACCAUUCAUUGGUUAGCAGUAUAAGAGUAGCUGCAUCAACCUUCUAGAACAUCCAAACAAGCUUACAAAUGCAUUUCUGUCAAUUAUAUACGUAGUAAUGCAAUUGCUUGAUUGUAGGAUAGGCAUAUGUGCAACUUUAGCAGAUAUUGCC